AACGAACGCUGGCGGCAAGCUUAACACAUGCAAGUCGAACGCCCCGCAAGGGGAGUGGCGGACGGGUGCGUAACACGUGGGAAUCUGCCUUUAGGUAAGGAAUAACUCAGGGAAACUUGAGCUAAUACCUUAUAAUGUCUUUGGACCAAGGAUUUAUCGCCUAAAGAUGAGCCCGCGGUAGAUUAGCUAGUUGGUGGGGUAAUGGCCUACCAAGGCGACGAUCUAUAGCUGGUCUUAGAGGAUGAUCAGCCACGCUGGGACUGAGACACGGCCCAGACUCCUACGGGAGGCAGCAGUGGGGAAUAUUGGGCAAUGGGCGAAAGCCUGACCCAGCUAUGCCGCGUGAAUGAUGAAGGCCUUAGGGUUGUAAAGUUCUUUUAGAUGGGAAGAUAAUGACGGUACCAUCAGAAAAAGCUCCGGCUAACUUCGUGCCAGCCGCCGCAGUAA
rnacentral:rRNA from 1 species